rnacentral:rRNA from 1 species
AUUGAACGCUGGCGGCAUGCUUUACACAUGCAAGUCGAACGGCAGCACGGGGGCAGCCCUGGUGGCGAGUGGCGAACGGGUGAGUAAUACAUCGGAACGUGCCCGGUCGUGGGGGAUAACGUAGCGAAAGUUACGCUAAUACCGCAUACGAUCUGAGGAUGAAAGCGGGGGACCUUCGGGCCUCGCGCGAUCGGAGCGGCCGAUGUCAGAUUAGGUAGUUGGUGGGGUAAAGGCCUACCAAGCCGACGAUCUGUAGCUGGUCUGAGAGGACGACCAGCCACACUGGGACUGAGACACGGCCCAGACUCCUACGGGAGGCAGCAGUGGGGAAUUUUGGACAAUGGGCGCAAGCCUGAUCCAGCCAUUCCGCGUGCAGGACGAAGGCCUUCGGGUUGUAAACUGCUUUUGUACGGAACGAAAAGGCUCUGGCUAAUACCUGGGGCUCAUGACGGUACCGUAAGAAUAAGCACCGGCUAACUACGUG